GAUGAACGCUGGCGGCAUGCCUUACACAUGCAAGUCGAACGGUAACGGGUCCUUCGGGAUGCCGACGAGUGGCGAACGGGUGAGUAAUAUAUCGGAACGUGCCCAGUAGUGGGGGAUAACUGCUCGAAAGAGCAGCUAAUACCGCAUACGACCUGAGGGUGAAAGGGGGGGAUCGCAAGACCUCUCGCUAUUGGAGCGGCCGAUAUCAGAUUAGCUAGUUGGUGGGGUAAAGGCCUACCAAGGCAACGAUCUGUAGUUGGUCUGAGAGGACGACCAGCCACACUGGGACUGAGACACGGCCCAGACUCCUACGGGAGGCAGCAGUGGGGAAUUUUGGACAAUGGGCGCAAGCCUGAUCCAGCAAUGCCGCGUGCAGGAAGAAGGCCUUCGGGUUGUAAGCUGCUUUUGUCAGGGAAGAAAUCUUCUGGGCUAAUACCCCGGGAGGAUGACGGUACCUGAAGAAUAAGCACCGGCUAACUACGUGCCAGCAGCCGCCGUAA
rnacentral:rRNA from 1 species